rnacentral:rRNA from 1 species
GAUGAACGCUAGCUACAGGCUUAACACAUGCAAGUCGAGGGGCAGCAUGGUCUUAGCUUGCUAAGGCCGAUGGCGACCGGCGCACGGGUGAGUAACACGUAUCCAACCUGCCGUCUACUCUUGGACAGCCUUCUGAAAGGAAGAUUAAUACAAGAUGGCAUCAUGAGUCCGCAUGUUCACAUGAUUAAAGGUAUUCCGGUAGACGAUGGGGAUGCGUUCCAUUAGAUAGUAGGCGGGGUAACGGCCCACCUAGUCUUCGAUGGAUAGGGGUUCUGAGAGGAAGGUCCCCCACAUUGGAACUGAGACACGGUCCAAACUCCUACGGGAGGCAGCAGUGAGGAAUAUUGGUCAAUGGGCGAGAGCCUGAACCAGCCAAGUGGCGUGAAGGAUGACUGCCCUAUGGGUUGUAAACUUCUUUUAUAAAGGAAUAAAGUCGGGUAUGGAUACCCGUUUGCAUGUACUUUAUGAAUAAGGAUCGGCUAACUCCGUGCCAGCAGCCGCGGUAAUACGGAGGAUCCGAGCGUUAUCCGGAUUUAUUGGGUUUAAGGGGAGCGUAGAUGGAUGUUUAAGUCAGUUGUGAAAGUUUGCGGCUCAACCGUAAAAUUGCAGUUGAUACUGGAUAUCUUGAGUGCAGUUGAGGCAGGCGGAAUUCGUGGUGUAGCGGUGAAAUGCUUAGAUAUCACGAAGAACUCCGAUUGCGAAGGCAGCCUGCUAAGCUGCAACUGACAUUGAGGCUCGAAAGUGUGGGUAUCAAACAGGAUUAGAUACCCUGGUAGUCCACACGGUAAACGAUGAAUACUCGCUGUUUGCGAUAUACGGCAAGCGGCCAAGCGAAAGCGUUAAGUAUUCCACCUGGGGAGUACGCCGGCAACGGUGAAACUCAAAGGAAUUGACGGGGGCCCGCACAAGCGGAGGAACAUGUGGUUUAAUUCGAUGAUACGCGAGGAACCUUACCCGGGCUUAAAUUGCAGAUGAAUUACGGUGAAAGCCGUAAGCCGCAAGGCAUCUGUGAAGGUGCUGCAUGGUUGUCGUCAGCUCGUGCCGUGAGGUGUCGGCUUAAGUGCCAUAACGAGCGCAACCCUUGUUGUCAGUUACUAACAGGUCAUGCUGAGGACUCUGACAAGACUGCCAUCGUAAGAUGUGAGGAAGGUGGGGAUGACGUCAAAUCAGCACGGCCCUUACGUCCGGGGCUACACACGUGUUACAAUGGGGGGGUACAGAGGGCCGCUACCACGCGAGUGGAUGCCAAUCCCCAAAACCUCUCUCAGUUCGGACUGGAGUCUGCAACCCGACUCCACGAAGCUGGAUUCGCUAGUAAUCGCGCAUCAGCCACGGCGCGGUGAAUACGUUCCCGGGCCUUGUACACACCGCCCGUCAAGCCAUGGGAGCCGGGGGUACCUGAAGUGCGUAACCGCGAGGAGCGCCCUAGGGUAAAACUGGUGACUGGGGCUA